AAACACGAAUUCAUAAACAAUGCAUCAAUCUCAUACCCGCCCAUCGUGAUCCUUAUCUAUUAUAAUAUAAUUCAUUACUUUUUAUAUAGCUAAACACUAAAAUUGUUCUUUCCAUUGUCCCUCUAGUUUCUUAAUUAUUAACCUACAAAAUUUUUAAUUUGUUUUUUGUAGAUGACUAUAGAUGGGCUGCAUGUUGAAGAUUGAAUAAGUCCCGGGCUUUUUUACCUCAAAUUGUUGGGCUUCUCUGUUCUACUGAGGUUGAGUGGGUGCACCUUUAGAGGAAGUAAGAAAAAUCCAUCUUCACGAUUGCUCUAGAGAUUGAAUUGGCGUAUGACAUGGGAUUUUAUAUGGAUAUGAAAGGAGAUUGUUAAUAUUAUGAAAGCUUCGAUGUCCAUGUGAUAAUGACUUAAUAUUGAGUUAUUUUGAGUUGCACUUAAUUACCUAAUGGGCUGAUAUUUUUAUGUUGUAUUAUAUAUAAGAGUUUCUAUGUACCUUCCCAAUGUAAACUGCGAGAUGUGUUUCUGCUUCUUCGCCAACUUUCUGUAUGGUUACGUUGGCAUACAUAGGAGACGCGUAGGUACAACUUCUCAAUCUCGCAAGUUUAGAAAGCAAGAGAAUGCUCGAUCCAUCAGGCUCUGUAAUAUUUGGAGGAGAUAUAUCAAGGUGUCCAAAAGUAAUAGCUUACAAGAAUAUGAAAGUUUAUCUGUGACGCGUGGUAUAUCUCUCGCGUAGACCAAAAAAGGAAAGACGCUGAUUCGUGUAGAGCUUAUGGAGGAUCAAAACGGACAGUCUCAGAUCACUAGUUUAGAAAAACGGAGACUCAACAUAUCAAAAAGAGAACAAAACUAAUACAUAGUAUAUAUGUAAAUGUUAUGUUCUUUAGCUAAUAUUGGUAACCUAAGUGUCAAUGGAUCAAGUAUAUAUUUGCCUUGAAAAAACAUGCAACAGCUAGAUUGGAUGGCAAUAGCUCUGAGGAAUGAUGAUCUAGGAGAGAUAUCCAUGUUAUGUUCUUUAUAUUAAACACUACUUGGGCGUUCCGAUUUGCAAACAAUAUAUUUGUGCUCUAGUGGUACAAAUAAAUUAUUUUAUUAUUGUUCACUAUUCUCAACAUCAUAUAUAGAAUCUACAAACAACUGAUUGAAUAAAUAAUUUGAGGUCUUAUUAGAUAA
rnacentral:sRNA from 1 species